CAAAAACACUCGACCACAGCAACAGGACGGGCGACAAUCGCACUGCGAGAACUUUUUUCCGCUCUCUCUCUCUUACGCAUAUUUUCAGUUCCUUUUUGUUCCUCCUCACACCACAGACCACUGAUGCGCUUUACUGCAUCUUUUUUGAAAUGUGACUUCAUUGAUUUAUUGAACGACCUUCAUGGCUGAGUGCCGGUAAACAGCGGGUCCCUUUUUUUUAUUUGCGUUCUGUCGCUUCCCCCUCUGUAUAUGUAACUGUGAGUCCCGGCUUCGAGUCUGCACACGCAGUUUCUACUUUAAGGCCGCGAACAUAUCGACGUGAAUGUGUACAAUGUGUGGGGGAAUGUUUACCAGCGUGCUGUUGGUGGUCGCUCUGGGAUGCUUGGUGUCUGGACAGCAAACUGGCAUUCCUAAAGCCCCUGACAACUGCCCCACAGACAGCGGCCCCUGCAACUGCAGGCAGACCGUAGACUCCAGCGGGUGUCCAAGCUGCGUCUGCCACGACGAUGUCCCUGCGACUGCCUGUCCCACCAUGCAAUGUGACGUCACUAGCGACCAGUGCAGUAUUGAGACAGACAAGGAUGGAUGCCAAGUAUGCCAAUGCACGGGACACCAUACAGGUGGAAAUCAACAACAAUCCACCGCCGGAUCUACAACGGAUGCUGACCUCGGAUAGGGGUAGAUUAUAUUAAGUUAUCCUGGCCCGGAAGACGACCUGGAACUGUGUAGCCCAGGAUUUUUCUAGUUUUAGUGCAUUAGCAGCGCCACCUAGCUAUAGAAAGCCCCCUCGUCACGUGGACAAGUAGAGUCGUGAUGUCGUCUGCUUCAGCCAAUCGCUGCAGAUGACAGGCUUCCUGUGGCUACUAGUGGCUUACGGCGGCUCGUUUCCAUAGCUAUGGCCGCUGAGAGCACGGCCGUGAAUGGCAGACUCUUAAUGACUACGUCACGUCGUUUAAGCGAGCAGGCCUUGUUUACUCUAGGUGGCGCUGGAUUCAUGCGCAGAGAGAAGCCGCCGUCAAGACGAGCUUCGUAUACUUGUAAUAGGAAACUGUGGUGCAUUAAUGUGAUAUGGUUUUAAAAUGAUUUUCGUCGUAGCAUUGACCCGUUUCCUCUGUGUCUUUCAAGGAAAGGGAGUUUGUACCAAAAAUAAAAAUAUUUAUUCGAGAGA